UUGAACGCUGGCGGCAGGCCUAACACAUGCAAGUCGAACGGUAACAGGAAGAAGCUUGCUUCUUUGCUGACGAGUGGCGGACGGGUGAGUAAUGUCUGGGAAACUGCCUGAUGGAGGGGGAUAACUACUGGAAACGGUAGCUAAUACCGCAUAACGUCGCAAGACCAAAGAGGGGGACCUUCGGGCCUCUUGCCAUCGGAUGUGCCCAGAUGGGAUUAGCUAGUAGGUGGGGUAACGGCUCACCUAGGCGACGAUCCCUAGCUGGUCUGAGAGGAUGACCAGCCACACUGGAACUGAGACACGGUCCAGACUCCUACGGGAGGCAGCAGUGGGGAAUAUUGCACAAUGGGCGCAAGCCUGAUGCAGCCAUGCCGUGUGUAUGAAGAAGGCCUUCGGGUUGUAAAGUACUUUCAGCGGGGAGGAAGGGAGUAAAGUUAAUACCUUUGCUCAUUGACGUUACCCGCAGAAGAAGCACCGGCUAACUCCGUG
rnacentral:rRNA from 1 species